rnacentral:rRNA from 1 species
GUAGGGAAUCUUCGGCAAUGGACGAAAGUCUGACCGAGCAACGCCGCGUGAGUGAAGAAGGUUUUCGGAUCGUAAAGCUCUGUUGUUAGAGAAGAACGUUGGUAGGAGUGGAAAAUCUACCAAGUGACGGUAACUAACCAGAAAGGGACGGCUAACUACGUGCCAGCAGCCGCGGUAAUACGUAGGUCCCGAGCGUUGUCCGGAUUUAUUGGGCGUAAAGCGAGCGCAGGCGGUUCUUUAAGUCUGAAGUUAAAGGCAGUGGCUUAACCAUUGUACGCUUUGGAAACUGGAGGACUUGAGUGCAGAAGGGGAGAGUGGAAUUCCAUGUGUAGCGGUGAAAUGCGUAGAUAUAUGGAGGAACACCGGUGGCGAAAGCGGCUCUCUGGUCUGUAACUGACGCUGAGGCUCGAAAGCGUGGGGAGCAAACAGGAUUAGAUACCCUGGUAGUCCACGCCGUAAACGAUGAGUGCUAGGUGUUAGGCCCUUUCCGGGGCUUAGUGCCGCAGCUAACGCAUUAAGCACUCCGCCUGGGGAGUACGACCGCAAGGUUG